GGCAAGAAACGCUUGCUUGAGACAAGCCUGGGUUCUGCUUCUUAAGAAUCCCAUCUGAGAAAGAAAAUCCUGAGAGGAGGAGAUGUGGAUUAAUUCUAUUAGACGAUCUGCUGCCCCUGCUAAGGGAACAAAACAAGGAUCAAAGUCCAACAAAACAAGGAUCAAAGUCCAACAAAACAAGGAUCCAAGUCCACACAUCUUUGAGCUUUGAACAUUUCAUUAAUGAGAAACGCUGUCCAUGAUCAACCUGAACAUCAAAGAGGCGAGAGUCUGAGAGCCUAAUUAGAGAUGACAGACACGUUCACUUGAUCCUGUUUGAUGGCUGGUGUCCCAUCUUUCUGCACAAUCUUCAGUACAAUGCAUCCCAGGUCCUCCUUUCUCAGGGUCCCAGCCUUCUUUCAAUUAUGGAUCCCUCUCACCCCUGCUUUGUUCCUGAUGAUUUUAAGAUGGCGAGCGUCCAACCUAUUAAAAAAACUCUGCCCUCAAUCCAACCCAACCGAAUAACCACGGCCCUUUUUCCAAACCGUCAUUUAUCUGCAGGAUUCUUGGGAAAGUCUUCACACUGCAGCUUCUUAAAGUCUCUGAUGGAACCAGCAUUGAUAAUAAAAGCAGACUGUGCAGCAAAUAAACCUGCUGAAAAUGACAAUCUACAUCAACAUGACAGCCAAUAUCGAUGAUUGCCUUAGGAAACAGAAGCAUGUAAAGUCUUACCAACCUCAGGUGAAGUGUUUGAAGGACAUCGGUUUGAAAGAGAGUGAAAUCAAAGACAUGAUGCUGCUUCUAACUGUUGUUCCUGUUGUGAGGACUUAUUUCCCAUUUAGCAUGAAUAAAUCCU